AUUGAACGCUGGCGGCAGGCCUAACACAUGCAAGUCGAGCGGUAGAGAGAAGCUUGCUUCUCUUGAGAGCGGCGGACGGGUGAGUAAUGCCUAGGAAUCUGCCUGGUAGUGGGGGAUAACGUUCGGAAACGGACGCUAAUACCGCAUACGUCCUACGGGAGAAAGCAGGGGACCUUCGGGCCUUGCGCUACCAGAUGAGCCUGGGUCGGAUUAGCUAGUUGGUGAGGUAAUGGCUCACCAAGGCGACGAUCCGUAACUGGUCUGAGAGGAUGAUCAGUCACACUGGAACUGAGACACGGUCCAGACUCCUACGGGAGGCAGCAGUGGGGAAUAUUGGACAAUGGGCGAAAGUCUGAUCCAGCCAUGCCGCGUGUGUGAAGAAGGUCUUCGGAUUGUAAAGCACUUUAAGUUGGGAGGAAGGGUUGUAGAUUAAUACUCUGCAAUUUUGACGUUACCGACAGAAUAAGCACCGGCUAACUCUGUGCCAGCCGCCGCCGUAA
rnacentral:rRNA from 1 species